rnacentral:rRNA from 1 species
UACGUAGGGGGCGAGCGUUGUCCGGAUUUAUUGGGCGUAAAGAGCUCGUAGGCGGUUUGGUAAGUUGGAUGUGAAAUCUCCAGGCUCAACUUGGAGGGGUCAUUCGAUACUGCCAUGACUAGAGUUCGGUAGGGGAGUGUGGAAUUCCUGGUGGAGCGGUGAAAUGCGCAGAUAUCGAGGAGGAACCACCCGUAGCGAAGGCGGCAGCUCUGGGCCGGAACUGACGCUGAGGAGCGAAAGGCGUGGGAGCGAACAGG